GCGUCUUUAGCUCAGUGGUAGAGCGUUCGAUUCACAUUCGAAAGGUCGUAGGUCCGAUCCCUACAAGACGCACCA
rnacentral:tRNA from 1 species